AUUGAACGCUGGCGGCAGGCCUAACACAUGCAAGUCGAGCGCGCGGCGGACGGGUGAGAAAUGUAUGGGGACUGCCCGAUAGAGGGGGAUAACUACUGGGAACGGUAGCUAAUACCGCAUACUAUCGGAUAACCCAUAUGGGAUUUGCUCGUGGGUGUGGUAAUGGCUCACCUAGGCGACGAGACCUAGCUGGUCUGAGAGGAUGAUCAGCCACACUGGGACUGAGACACGGCCCAGACUCCUACGGAGGCAGCAGUGGGGAAUAUUGCACAAUGGGCGCAAGCCUGAUGCAGCCAUGCCGCGUGUAUGAAGAAGGCCCUAGGGUUGUAAAGUACUUUCAGUCGGGAGGCGUUACCGGCAGAAGAAGCACCGGCUAACUCCGUGCCAGCAGCCGCGGUAAUAC
rnacentral:rRNA from 1 species